rnacentral:rRNA from 1 species
GAUGAACGCUGGCGGCGUGCUUAACACAUGCCAGUCGAACGAGAAGUGGAGACGGAAACCUUCGGGCGGAAGACUUUAUUUCGAGUGGCGAACGGGUGAGUAACGCGUGGGUAACCUGCCUCAUACAGGGGGAUAACAGUUGGAAACGACUGUUAAUACCGCAUAAGACCACAGCACCGCAUGGUGCGGGGGUAAAAACUCCGGUGGUAUGAGAUGGACCCGCGUUCGAUUAGCCAGUUGGCGGGGUAACGGCCCACCAAAGCGACGAUCGAUAGCCGAUCUGAGAGGAUGACCGGCCACAUUGGGACUGAGACACGGCCCAAACUCCUACGGGAGGCAGCAGUGUGGAAUAUUGCACAAUGGGGGAAACCCUGAUGCAGCGACGCCGCGUGAGUGAAGAAGUAUUUCGGUAUGUAAAGCUCUAUCAGCAGGGAAGAAAAUGACGGUACCUGAGGAAGAAGCCCCGGCUAACUACGUG